rnacentral:tRNA from 1 species
AAAGAAUUAGUUAAAAAAUUCAAUAACCUAAAUUUGUCAAAUUUAAAUUAUAUUAAUUUAAAAAUAUAUUCUUUA